rnacentral:rRNA from 1 species
GAUGAACGCUGGCGGCGUGCUUAACACAUGCAAGUCGAACGGAAAGGCUCCUGCUUGCGGGGGUACUCGAGUGGCGAACGGGUGAGUAACACGUGGGUUAUCUGCCCUGCACUUGGGGAUAAGCCUGGGAAACUGGGUCUAAUACCGGAUAGGACGAUGGUUUGGAUGCCAUUGUGGAAAGUUUUUCGGUGUGGGUUGAGCUCGCGGCCUAUCAGCUUGUUGGUGGGGUAAUGGCCUACCAAGGCGCCGACGGGUAGCCGGCCUGAGAGGGUGUACGGCCACAUUGGGACUGAGAUACGGCCCAGACUCCUACGGGAGGCAGCAGGGGGGAAUAUUGCACAAUGGGCGCAAGCCUGAUGCAGCGACGCCGCGUGGGGGAUGACGGCCUUCGGGUUGUAAACUCCUUUCGCUAGGGACGAAGCGCAAGUGACGGUACCUGGAGAAGAAGCACCGGCUAACUACGUG